AAUAUUGGUAAAUGGGCAAAAGCCUGAUCUAGCCAUGCCGCGUGUUUGAAGAAGGUCUUCGGUUUGUAAAGUACUUUAAGUAGGGAGGAAUGGCCGUAAGUUAAUACCCUGCUGUUUUGACGUUACCGACAGAUUAAGCACCGGCUAACUUCGUGCCAGCAGCCGCGGUAAUACGAAGGGUGCAAGCAUUAAUCGGAAUUACCGGGCGUAAAGCGCGCGUAGGUGGUUCGUUAAGUUGGAUGUGAAAGCCCCGGGCUCAACCUGGGAACUGCAUCCAAAACUGGCGAGCUAGAGUACGGUAGAGGGUGGUGGAAUUUCCUGUGUAGCGGUGAAAUGCGUAGAUAUAGGAAGGAACACCAGUGGCGAAGGCGACCACCUGGGCUAAUACUGACACUGAGGUGCGAAAGCGUGGGGAGCAAACAGG
rnacentral:rRNA from 1 species